rnacentral:rRNA from 2 species
GGCCACAGCCGUAUCACCCUGCAGACAAAGACCGGUUACUCAUUGAAGCUUAACAGGGCUGAGCCUGUUCAGUACCUGAAUGUGAGACCACAUGGGAAAACUAGGUUGCUGUUGGAA